rnacentral:rRNA from 1 species
UACGUAGGCAGCGAGCGUUGUUCGGAAUUAUUGGGCGUAAAGAGCUCGUAGGCGGCUUGUCGCGUCGUCCGUGAAAACUUGGGGCUCAACCCCAAGCUUGCGGUCGAUACGGGCAGGCUAGAGUUCGGUAGGGGAGACUGGAAUUCCUGGUGUAGCGGUGAAAUGCGCAGAUAUCAGGAGGAACACCGGUGGCGAAGGCGGGUCUCUGGGCCGAUACUGACGCUGAGGAGCGAAAGCGUGGGGAGCGAACAGG